UUAAAAACUUUCCGUUGGCUCCCCGAGUGCGUCAGCGUCUUCUGGACCGCCCAGAGGCCUCUGGGACACACCGAAACCCAAGAGGUGACGUCAACCCCAUCGUGAUGAUCAGCUGCGGCGUCACACUGCGGCGCUUCGAGAACUUGAACCGGAUCCAUCCCUCCGGCGAGGACAGCCUAGCUGAGAUUCUGGAAAAGACAGAAAAUGCACAAUCCUUAGUUUUCUACCAUGGGAAAGUCGUUUGAAACAUCUCAAUGAUAACCCAAUCGUCCAAACCAAACAGAUAUCGGCCGCCAUUGCCUUUCGGAUGAAAAUUGCAAGCACGAGGACAACAUGAAGACGCGCUAACCGCUCCUUCGCCGAGCUGGAGGGCGGACGUGCUUACUUGCUCGGCUUAGCCACACAUACGGACUUGGCGUUCUUCUACAAAAUGUAGAAGGUGUGCAACUGAAAUCAUUUCUUACCCAUUAAAAAAAAAGCGAUCCUCGCCUUGGCUUCUAUUACUUGUUCGCUGUUGCUUUUCCGGUGACACGCUCAACGAUACUGCCACCUGUCGGUGAGGUUUAGCACUGAUCUAAACACAAGCCCUGCUUUCCAUUCGAGCUCGGAAGUUGGAAUUUCAGCGUUCCUCGUCGGACGUUUCAAAAUGGUGAAUGCUAUUGUCUGUGAGUCUUUGUGGCACAAAUAUGAUUCCAGAAGAAGUCGAAUGUUUUGCACUCGGAAAGUCGGGGAAUUCACGUUUUUUCCCCCUCACGACCCCGAGUUGGCGUUCAAAGAUGGCUGCUGCGAGUGUAAACAGUAAAUCGAAGCUCCUGUAAUAAUCAGUCUCUUAUCAAUUCUGUAUAGUUUAUAGUAUAGUCACACUAAAUCGGCCGAUUUACAUGGUAUUAUUGCUGGAGUGCUAAAGACCCUUUUCAUGGGGUAAAUGCGAGCUACGGUGCAGCCCGUGCUAAUGUUUAUGUUUAAAAGUCAAGUAUUUUGUGGCAGUGAAUGACGUCUGCACAUUCUGAAUAUUGUUUUAAACGAUCAAUUUUUUUUUUUUUUUUUUUUUUUUACAACGAUCAUAUCCCCAAUCUGGAUUGAACAUAUUUUAUGAUUCAAAUUUUAUUCCCAAAUAUUUGUGAUUUAAAAAAAAAAAAAAAAACAACGGUGGGGAAAUAGUUUAUUUCAAAUUGUUUUAUUUAAAACGUUUAUGUGAACAUCAGCGCUGGCCUGUAUUUGGAUCCACACAGGGCGACUGUUUCCUGGCCCCUUUGUUCUCGCUGCGGUCAAGCCAGCGUGGAUUUCCUCCUAAAACAUGGCGUACGCUCAAAUCCACAAAACGUCGUACGCACAAAAAUAUCCAGAUGUGUGAAACUCUGCGUAAGCAGGAAUCCAAGCACAUUUCCUUCAGUCAUCCGGACUGAUAAAAAGAGUCCUUUUGAAUUUACUUAAUUUGAACAUGCACAUCGGUUUCAUGUGAUUAAAAUGACUUAAUUUACCCAUCUUCUCCUAUUAAAAAAAGUCAUUUUAAUCAUGUGCCACCAAUGUACAUGUUCAAAUGAAGUAAAUUCAAAAGGACCGCUUUAUUUAUUUAUUUUUCCAGUGCAUGUGGUGGAGUCACAAGAAACGAUUGUGAGGGCAACAAGGCGGCAUAAAUGAUCGCCUUGAUCAAUUAAUAGGUGUCCACACAACUAUCAGUGAUCUAUUAAAUACAAUGGAAUUCUGAGUCCUUGCUGCUUUUACAUUGUUGAAGUCAAGCGUUGUCGGUCACUAAUUGUUCAUCAGUGCAAAUUGUUCAUGUGUCUCUGAUGUGCAGAUUUAUUAUCCCCGUAUUAUUUGGAGGCUUUUAUUUUUGAAGGUGGCUUUCGUGGCUAGUAUACACAAAAUUAGGGGCGUCACCCUGCCUCUUGCUCCAGCACCAACACGGCAGGCAGGAGCAAGGUGAAGCUUUCCAAUUCCUCCGUGAGUCCAAGGAGGCCAGUCUGAGGCGUCGCGAAAACUUUCUGGAUCAACUGAAGUCAGCCCAGCAAAGAGAGCGACUUCUUGAUGACCAUCAGCAGACAAAGAGAAAUCGCAGAGAUGGGAGUCAGAUUGUCUGCAUCCUCUCUGUCCAUUUCCAGAUCAUUAACUCUGUUUGGGGCUGAGAAACUCUCAGUACCAGUGUCACUGCCAUAUGAAGAGAUCCCUCUAUCUGGUACUGUGGAAAUAUGUGGAUCAUCGCAGAGAAAGAAGUCACAACAGGCUGUUACAAUCAGGAUCCCAAGUCAAAAGGAGACAAAAUCGGCUAAAAAGUGUCCGGGACCCGUCGUCGUACAGCUGCCGAUGAAGCCGCCUUCCCAGGGGACAAAAGCAAAAGUAGCGUGUAGUGAAUACCCAAAGGAGGAGAGGAAAGCACUGCAGACCUUCAAACAUCCCCAGCUAGCCGUCUCGCCCAACUCCCCACAGAAAGCCUCUCCACAAAAGAAGCCGAAGGCGAAAAAGACGCCCAAAACAAACAGUGACAAUUUCACCUGCUCGCUGGAAGACUGCUUGUAUCAUAAAUCCAAAGAUCAGUCUGAUCAGGACAGGAAAUUAGAGCCAAUCAGAACUGGUACAGUCCAUAAGUAUCGGGGUGUUAAAAAACCCGAGGUCGGCCCUGGAUCUGAGAUAAGAGUCCCGUACAGACCCAAAGGAGGGAUGAUUUUUGAUCCAGAACUCAUGCCACUGAGUCCUAAGGUAUAGUCCGCGACUAUGAUGUGUAGAAUGUUUCUUCGUUUAAAUUUACCUCCCGGUUGCUUAUCCUGAUCAAAUAAAGUGAGAGUGAGA